GACGAACGCUGGCGGCGUGCUUAACACAUGCAAGUCGAACGGAGUGGCGAACGGGUGAGUAACACGUGGGGGACCUGCCCUGCACUUCGGGAUAAGCCUGGGAAACUGGGGCUAAUACCGGAUAGUGGGGGAUGGGCCCGCGGCCUAGCAGCUUGUUGGUGGGGUAAUGGCCUACCAAGGCGGCGACGGGUAGCCGGCCUGGGAGGGUGGACGGCCACAUUGGGACUGAGACACGGUCCAGAGUCCUACGCUAGGCAGCGGUGGGGAAUAGUGCACAAUCGGCGGAAGCCUGAUGCAGCGACGUCGGGUGGGGGAUGACGGCUUGCGGGUUGUAAACUCCUUUCACCAUCGACGCGGUAGAUGGAGAAUAAGCACCGGCUAACUACGUGCCAGCAGCCGCGGUAAUUC
rnacentral:rRNA from 1 species